AUAUUGCACAAUGGGCGCAAGCCUGAUGCAGCAACGCCGCGUGAGGGAUGACGGUUUUCGAAUUGUAAACCUCUGUUCUUGGUGAUGAUAAUGACAUUAGCUAAGGAGAAAGCCCCGGCUAACUACGUGCCAGCAGCCGCGGUA
rnacentral:rRNA from 1 species